rnacentral:rRNA from 1 species
UACGUAGGAGGCGAGCGUUGUCCGGAAUUACUGGGCGUAAAGCGCGCGCAGGCGGCACACUAAGUACGAUGUGAAAUCUCCCUGCUCAACGGGGAGGGUGCAUAGUAAACUGGUGAGCUAGAGGACGGUAGAGGGGGGUGGAAUUGCUGGUGUAGCGGUGAAAUGCGUAGAGAUCAGCAGGAACACCCGUGGCGAAGGCGGCCCCCUGGGCCGAAACUGACGCUGAGGCGCGAAGGCUAGGGGAGCGAAAGGG